CCACAACAACAACAACAAAAAUAAAGCGUCGCGGGCCUCUAACCCAAAACAGAACGGUAGGCUUACGCGGUACGCCCGGUACACUUCUCCGUCGUCGUUCUCGUUCGGCAUGCAUUUAAACGUGUUGUUUCAGGUACCGCCGGAUUCCGUCCGAAAGACCCGCCGGUAGGCGUCUCGUCAUUACGUACUCCCGUUUGAAACGACGCAAUGCCCGCGUGCGUCGCCCCCGUUUUACAAACGCAGGCGCCCAGUGACGUGAAUUGGCCUGAAUUGCUGGUGGCGCAGAGAAAUAUUGUAAUUUUUAACCCGUCGACACCUCCGACUUCCUUUG